GGAAGGGCCAUCGCUCAACGGAUAAAAGGUACUCCGGGGAUAACAGGCUGAUACCGCCCAAGAGUUCAUAUCGACGGCGGUGUUUGGCACCUCGAUGUCGGCUCAUCACAUCCUGGGGCUGAAGUAGGUCCCAAGGGUACGGCUGUUCGCCGUUUAAAGUGGUACGCGAGCUGGGUUUAGAACGUCGUGAGACAGUUCGGUCCCUAUCUGCCGUGGGCGCUGGAGAAUUGAGGGGGGUUGCUCCUAGUACGAGAGGACCGGAGUGAACGCACCACUGGUGUUCGGGUUGUCAUGCCAAUGGCACUGCCCGGUAGCUAAGUGCGGAAAAGAUAAGUGCUGAAAGCAUCUAAGCACGAAACUUGCCCCGAGAUGAGUUCUCCCUGACCCCUUGAGGGUCCUGAAGGGACGUUGAAGACGACGACGUUGAUAGGCCGGGUGUGUAAGCGCAGCGAUGCGUUGAGCUAACCGGUACUAAUGACCCGAGAGGCUUAACCUUACAACGCCAGAGGCGUUU
rnacentral:rRNA from 1 species